GGAGAGAUGGCCGAGAGGCCGAAGGCGCUUCCCUGCUAAGGAAGUAUACUGGUAACGGUAUCGGCGGUUCGAAUCCGCCUCUCUCCG
rnacentral:tRNA from 1 species